UACGUAGGUGGCGAGCGUUGUCCGGAUUUACUGGGCGUAAAGAGCGCGCAGGCGGUCGUGCAAGUCGCGUGUGAAAGCCCCCGGCUCAACUGGGGAGGGUCACGCGAUACUGCUCGACUCGAAGGCAGGAGAGGGAAGUGGAAUUCCCGGUGUAGUGGUGAAAUGCGUAGAUAUCGGGAGGAACACCGGUGGCGAAGGCGGUCUUCUGGACGGUGACUGACGCUGAGGCGCGAAAGCGUGGGGAGCAAACGGG
rnacentral:rRNA from 1 species